UGUUGCAACUGAAGAAUCAAA
ensembl:piRNA 21ur-480 ncRNA